AUUGAACGCUGGCGGCAUGCUUUACACAUGCAAGUCGAACGGCAGCGCGGGCUUUGGCUUGGCGGCGAGGGGCGAACGGGUGAGUAAUACAUCGGAACGUGCCCAGCUGUGGUUUAUAGCUCGGCGAAAGCCGGAUUAAUACCGCAUUCGACCUGAGGGUGUAAGCGUGGGAGCUUCGGACCUUCCGCCAUUGCGCGAGUCGAUGGCGGAUUAGCUAGUUGGUGGGGUAAAGGCCUACCAAGGCGACGAUCCGUAGCUGGUCUGAGAGGACGAGCAGCCACACUGGGACUGAGACACGGCCCAGACUCCUACGGGAGGCAGCAGUGGGGAAUAUUGGACAAUGGGCGAAAGCCUGAUCCAGCAAUGCCGCGUGUGUGAUGAAGGCCUUCGGGUUGUAAAGCACUUUUGGCGGGAAAGAAAAGGACUGUGCCAAUACCACGGUGCGAUGACGGUACCCGCAGAAUAAGCACCGGCUAACUUCGUG
rnacentral:rRNA from 1 species